GACGUAGGGCGCGAGCGUUGUCCGGAUUUAUUGGGCGUAAAGAGCUCGUAGGCGGUGUGUCGCGUCGGCCGUGAAAACCUGCAGCUUAACUGUGGGCUUGCGGUCGAUACGGGCAUCACUGGAGUUCGGCAGGGGAGACUGGAAUUCCUGGUGUAGCGGUGAAAUGCGCAGAUAUCAGGAAGAACACCCGUGGCGAAGGCGGGUCUCUGGGCCGUAACUGACGCUGGAGGAGCGAAAGCAUGGGGAGCGAACAGG
rnacentral:rRNA from 1 species